CUCACUCUCUCGUCUCUCUCUCUCAAUCCAACUUCUCCGGCGAGCCUCCGACCACCGCCGAGCACCCCUCGCCUCUCCGACCACCGAAUGCCCCUCGCCCCUCCGGUGAGCCUUCGAUCGCUCGCGCACACACUGACGGGGGCAGAGGGCCGAGACCUAGCCCUAGCCCCGCCGAACAGCGCGGCGCCCCUCCCCCUCUUUUCUCCUUCUCCGCCGCCGCAUGCUUCUCCUUCUCCGGCCGAUGGCGGCUCUGGGGCCGCGCCGCGACCGCCUUCCUUCUUCCCCUCGCAUCUCUCUCUGUCCGACUCCUCUCUCUUCCCCUUUCGUUUCUCCCUCAUCUCUCUCUCACUAGACUCUGUGUCUGCCGCGAUUCAAUUUUUGGGUUAGGGGCUAGGGUUUGCCGCGAUUCGAUUUUUGGGUUCGAUUUUGCAGGUUCGAUUUUGAGUUUGAUUUUGGGUUUGAUUUCUGGGUUCGAUUUGGGGGUUGAAUUUAUGAGGUGGUGGUGGUUGUCGUAGGCGGCGGUAGUGUCGAUUUUGGGUAUGAAUUGGGGGUUGAAUUUCUGAGGCGGUGGUGGUGUCGGAGGUGGCGGUGGUGGUUGUCGGAGGCGGCGGUGGUGGUUGUCGGAGGUAUGAAUUGGGGGUUGAAUUUCAACUAAAACAUUAAAUAAAAAUAAAUAAAUACACUAAAUUAAAACUAAUCAACUACACUAAUAGUGGUGGGCCACAACACUUUAACAACUAAUUUACCUCUCCUUAAUCUCCGUGCCCCAAAGACCUAUGUCUUUAUUAAUGGGACGAAUGGAGUAUAUUAAAAUGAUAUGCUUAUAUGUACUUAUGUUUAUGCAUAUUCGUGUUCAAUUAUAUGCAUAAUUACGGCGGUGACCGUGUCAAAGAAAAGAAUUUUCGACCAAAAUAAUACUCCCUCCGUCCCGUUAAUCAUGGCUCAAAACUUUUCGGCACGGGUAUUUAGGAGAGUAAAAUUAAGAGGUAAGUGUAUAUCCCACAAACUUAAUUUAGUGUUAAUUUUAAUUAUGAAUUGUUGCCACUGUUCUCUCUCCCCCCCUAAUCUCCCUCCGCAGUCGGCUCUCUCCCCUAAUCUCCUUCCAUAGUCCGACCGGCGAAACAACGGCAAAAACCACCGCGCCACCGCCUCAUUUCUCUCUCUACCAGAUCCUGAAACCCGCCCCGCUCUUGCUCCGAUUUAUAGCAACAGAGCCGCCGCCGCUAGAGCUCUAUAUCACUAAAUCCACCGACACCACCCUUCAUCUCAUCUCCCUCCUCUAAUUCCGCCGACGGCGACGCCACCCACCUAACACCGCCUCCCUUCACCCACAAACCCAACAACAACAAACUCAACAACAGCACCUAAAAGAGAGAAUGAUUUGAGAGAUUUGCUGCACCAUUUUCGUACACCGUCCUUAGCCGAGACAUCCGAGAUCUGCAGCAACC
rnacentral:lncRNA from 1 species